UUUAAAUAGUUUAAAUAAAAUUUUAAUUUGUGGAAUUAAAGAUAUAGAAAUAUUUUAAGUAA
rnacentral:tRNA from 1 species